rnacentral:rRNA from 1 species
GACGAACGCUGGCGGCGUGCUUAACACAUGCAAGUCGAACGGAAAGGCCCUGCUUUUGUGGGGUGCUCGAGUGGCGAACGGGUGAGUAACACGUGAGUAACCUGCCCUUGACUUUGGGAUAACUUCAGGAAACUGGGGCUAAUACCGGAUAGGAGCUCCUGCUGCAUGGUGGGGGUUGGAAAGUUUCGGCGGGUGGGGAUGGACUCGCGGCUUAUCAGCUUGUUGGUUGGGUAGUGGCUUACCAAGGCUUUGACGGGUAGCCGGCCUGUGAGGGUGACCGGCCACAAUGGGACUGAGAUACGGCCCAGACUCCUACGGGAGGCAGCAGUGGGAAAUAUUGCACAAUGGGCGGAAGCCUGAUGCAGCAACGCCGCGUGCGGGAUGACGGCCUUCGGGUUGUAAACCGCUUUCGCCUGUGACGAAGCGUGAGUGACGGUAAUGAGUAAAGAAGCACCGGCUAACUACGUG